rnacentral:lncRNA from 1 species
AUUGAUUUUAUUUUUAUGACUUAAAAUUAUUGUUAGCAUUUGAUUUUUGGGAUGAAGGUUGACCAUUGUCUCAUGGUCAACCUGACCUUUUCUUGGAAUUUUAUUUCAAAUUUUCAAUUUAUUUUGGAUUUAUUUUUGACCUAGUUUGGUUGGUGGACUUUUAAUUUGACUUCUGUUUUAUUUUAAUUAAUUCACAUACCAAUUUUCAUUAUUACAUUAUUCAGUGGAUAAUAUUUAUUUCUGUAUUUCUUUGGUCACCUGUUAAUACAAGAAUUAAAACGAACAUCCGAUAACCAUUUCAAAAUAAGAUCAAAAGCUCGAUCCAACGUUGAGUAAUCAUUUUCAAAACUUAACAGAACUAGCACGCAUUCAUCCAUCCUCUUGUAAGUCGAUUUCCUCAGGCAUCGCCAUCUACCUGUAAGUCGAUUGCCUCCGGCAUCUCCAUCUACCCUUAUUCAUAACUCCUCUCCGCGCUCCAUCCGUCGACUCUUGUUCCGUUUAGGUAGAACCCAUUAGGUAGAACCCUUUGUAUGAUAACAUAGGUAGAAUUCUCUUAUUCUUUGCAUGCUAACAUUAGGUAGAUGUUCUCCUUUGUAAAUCCUAACACAUAGGUCCAUAUUGCAUGACAACUCUAGAGCAGAGCUUCCCCACUUUUAGACCUUCCGUGCGUCUCCGAUCUUGUGGCAUGUCAGUCUGUUCUAUUGCAAAGAGGUAAUUUGGAAAAGUUACUUAAUUUGGAAAUGGUUGACUUUCCAUUUAGGGCAAGUUUUCAUGAUCGUUGCACUCACUUUAAGCCCAUUUUGCAUCAAUAUAAAAGCUCCAUUUGAAAAUUUCUCCAACAUGAAAGUUUUUCCUCUUGUUCCAAGCUUUCUAGAGAUAUAAAUCUUGCUCCAUUUGGAUUAGAAUUGAGAAAGUUAUGCUUAGUCAAAGUGAGACAUUUUUUUAGGACACUUUGAAAAAUUUCUAUGUCCAAAAUCUUCAAAAUUUGUCAAGACUUCUUGACCAGUUUUCUUGCACUUCAAGGCAUUAUUUGAAAAUAAUUUCUUCACAAAAAUUGUACCUUGCCAUGUCCUCUUUCACAUACUUUUGGAAUCAUCUCAUUUGGAUCCAUGGUUUGAGAGAUACAUUCAUUUAAAGUGGGCACCAUGACUUGAUUUUCUAGGCAGAUUUUGGGCGUGACUGGCCCAAUCAGAUUUUCUAAGCAUGCUGCACAAAUCAGCCACGUUUUUUUACCUCUUUUGGCCAUGCAUUGGACAUCCAUUCACUUAAGUUUGGCCCAAAAUAACAACAUUUUACACCUCACUUCACACUUUUAUUCUUAUGGAUAAAUCACUUAUUAAAAAGCCCAUGAGAACACCUAAUCCACCCUAUUUAAGAAGCUGAAACCCUAACCCUAAAGGAGCAUUGGAAUUUCGUGGCAAGGAGGCAAAGCUUCAUCACAUAUCAGAUUCCAUUCCACUUCUAUUUUCCAUUAGGUAAUCAUCUCUUCCAUGGCCAUGUUUUGAUAUAUCUACGCUUGCUUACCAUGUUCAUCACCAUUAAUCCUUCCAUUUUCAUAUUUCUUUUUCUUAUUUAAAAUAUUUUCUUCGUCCAUAAAAUUACCCAAAAAUAUUUUUCACUUUUCUUAACGUUUUAUUUAAUUUUAUAUAAUUUUUAUUUUCGUAUUUUUUUAAUAUUAAUAUUUUAUUUUAAUUAUUUAUUCUAAAUGGUCCAUUUUAACACACUUUUUUUAUUGAUUUUAUUUUUAUGACUUAAAAUUAUUGUUAGCAUUUUAUUUUUGGGAUGAAGGUUGACCACUGUCUCAUGGUCAACCUGACCUUUUCUUGGAAUUUUAUUUCACAUUUUCAAUUUAUUUUGGAUUUAUUUUUGACCUAGUUUGGUUGGUGGACUUUUAAUUUGACUUCUGUUUUAUUUUAAUUAAUUCACGUACCAAUUUUCAUUAUUUUUAAAAUCUUUUUGGGG